AGACACAUCGCUGCACGACGUCGCAAGAAGCUUGCCCCUGUGCAGCGUCCGCGUGACGGCGUGCUUUCUACGAUGGCCCAGGAUUACGACCGCCUUUUGAACAUUUUCGUUAUUGGGAAUUCAGGCGUCGGAAAAACCUGCCUCCUGAUCAAAUUUGCGGACUCAGCAUUCCCUUUAAACACCAGGACGACGACCGGUAUUGAUUUCAGAAGAAGGUUGGUUGAAGUGG
rnacentral:lncRNA from 1 species